CCUAGGUACGUGCCCGCGCGGGGUCGCGCUCGCUCGGUGCUCUGCGCUCGGUUGGUGCUGGUGGUGGCCGGUUCCCGGUAGGGAGCGGCCUUCUCCGCGUCCGGCCGGGGCUGCCUCAGCGCCUGCCGCUCCGGGUGUGGUUGAACAGUGCAGAAAUUGACUUCAGACUAGCAGCUGGAGAGUGGAGAGACUGCUCCCUGCCCUAUCUGCAGAGAUUUUUAAACAGGUUCGGAAGACUCCCAGGAUGAAGCUGCUGUGAGGAGCUUGAGGGGCCAGCACACAGGCUUUCAGGGCUCCCUUUCUGAGUGGAAUACAGUAUUGGAGUCUGCAGGAAAAAUGACUGUGGGAUUUGUACUGCUUCCCCCUCUGCUGGGGAGGACUUUGCUUACGCUUCUGGUGGUGGUUACCUUUGUUCAAUGCCAUUGGCCCAGUGAACCUUCCGAAGUUGUACAGGACUGGGAAAACCAGUUAGAGGCCUCCAUGCAUUCUGUGCUGUCAGAUCUCCGUGAGACGGUCCCAGCAGUGGUGGGGAUUCCAGACAGCUCUGCUGUGGUGGGACGCUCCUUCAGAGUCACCAUCCCCACAGAUUUAAUUGCUUCCAAUGGAGAAAUGGUGCAGGUGAGAAAUGCAUCAGCCAGCCUCAUAUCUCACAAUUCCCUUCCUUGCAGUCAUGCCCUGGGGAGGGACUGGGCCUGUCUCCGCACCAGUGUGACACAUGGGUUUGGACGGAUAGGUCAUAAGUGGUCAUGAUUCAGACGGGAGAAAGGGGGAGGCUGUUGGAUUUGGUGAUAGCUGGGAGGAAGAAACGUCCAUUUCCCUCUUCUGGAAAUUCACUGUGUAGUGCCCCCUCUUCACCUGGUUACCUUAUUUAAUGCCAAUCUGCUUACAGGUGUUGAUGGACAGGUCUGGGUUCUUCUGGAUCCCGCAACUCACUCAGCAGGCUGUAUCUUCUUUAUUUUUUCCUAUGAAUUUAUUUGGCGGUGCCUCCACCCCCCUCGCUCCUUCCUGGCAGGGUC